UACGUAGGGGGCUAGCGUUGUCCGGAAUCAUUGGGCGUAAAGCGCGCGUAGGCGGCCCGGUAAGUCCGCUGUGAAAGUCGGGGGCUCAACCCUCGAAUGCCGGUGGAUACUGUCGGGCUAGAGUGCGGAAGAGGCGAGUGGAAUUCCUGGUGUAGCGGUGAAAUGCGCAGAUAUCAGGAGGAACACCGGUGGCGAAGGCGACCACCUGGACAGACACUGACGCUGAGGCGCGAAAGCGUGGGGAGCAAACAGG
rnacentral:rRNA from 1 species